rnacentral:rRNA from 1 species
GACGAACCGUGCGAACGUUGUUCGGAAUCACUGGGCUUAAAGGGCGCGUAGGCGGGCGUGUCAGUCCGGGGUGAAAGCCCUCGGCCCAACCGGGGAAGGGCCUCGGAGACGGCACGCCUGGAGGGAGGCAGGGGCACGCGGAACUUCCGGUGGAGCGGUGAAAUGCGUUGAGAUCGGAAGGAACGCCGGUGGCGAAAGCGGCGUGCUGGACCUCUUCUGACGCUGAUGCGCGAAAGCCAGGGGAGCGAACGGG